GGCGCCAUUUUCGAGUGAUGCCUGAUCUCAUCAAUCUAGCGGGAGGGAAGGGAUAACCUGUCCGAGCCUAGCGCGACGCUAGGAUCACGCCGGAAAAUCCCCCAAAAAUCAUCAAAAAAAUUAACUUAGAGCAGAGGGCAGUCGGUGGGGCUUCGCCAGAUGCGGCGCAGUCGUUGUUACCUGUUAAGUCAUUAAGAACCAGAAAGGGUGAAACAAAUGAAAAAAAUAAAUAACGUUGCAUUUUCACCUCGAUUUGGGAGCAGUAAAAGAUUUUAACCAUUAGAAGAAUACCAGUUCUGGAAAACAACCAAAGUUUCUUUGAUUGAAUGCCCAUGUAAUGCAUUGGAAUAUGAUAGGCGAUUAAGGUUUAACAAUGUUAAAAUGAAGAUAUUACUAAAAUGGCCCUCUAAAUAGCCCAACAAUUAUUAUUUUCUUUGUCCUAUGGAUUUGGCUUUGAAAGAUGUGCUGCUCUUAAUAAGUGUGUAGUCAUUAAACCCAGAACCUCAGAGGGCUCUACUACUAAACCAUAUACCAGUACCAAAACCGAAAAAUAUUGACGAUACUUUUGUGCUGAAUAUUCCUCAGCCUUAACUUACUAAUGCUUAUGCCCAAUGGAUCUUCCUUCAUGAAGUACCCUCUCCUCCCCCCCAUUUAUCUUUGGUGAUUUUAAUAAAUAAUACCUUUGGAAAAUGA
rnacentral:lncRNA from 1 species